GAUGAACGCUGGCUACAGGCUUAACACAUGCAAGUCGAGGGGAAACGACGGGGAAGCUUGCUUCCCCGGGCGUCGACCGGCGCACGGGUGAGUAACGCGUAUCCAACCUGCCUCUGACUGAGGGAUAACCCGUCGAAAGUCGGCCUAAUACCUCAUGGCAUCGUCUGCGGGCAUCCAACGACGAUUAAAGAUUUCAUCGGUCAGAGAUGGGGAUGCGUCUGAUUAGCUUGUUGGUGGGGUAACGGCCCACCAAGGCGACGAUCAGUAGGGGUUCUGAGAGGAAGGUCCCCCACAGUGGAACUGAGAAACGGUCCAAACUCCUACGGGAGGCAGAAGUGAGGAAUAUUGGUCAAUGGGCGAGAGCCUGAACCAGCCAAGUAGCGUGCAGGAUGACGGCCCUAUGGGUUGUAAACUGCUUUUAGGCGGGGAUAAAGUGAGGGACGUGUCCUUCAUUGAAGGUACCGCAUGAAUAAGGACCGGCUAAUUCCGUG
rnacentral:rRNA from 1 species